rnacentral:rRNA from 1 species
UACGUAGGGGGCAAGCGUUGUCCGGAUUUAUUGGGCGUAAAGAGCGUGUAGGCGGCUAGGUAGGUCCGUUGUGAAAACUCGAGGCUCAACCUCGAGACGCCGGUGGAAACCAUCUAGCUAGAGUCCGGAAGAGGAGAGUGGAAUUCCUGGUGUAGCGGUGAGAUGCGCAGAUAUCAGGAAGAACACCCGUGGCGAAGGCGGCUCUCUGGGACGUGACUGACGCUGAGACGCGAAAGCGUGGGGAGCGAACAGG